GCAGAAUAGUGCAACAGAUUUAAGAUCUGUAUAUAAAGUUUAAUUUUUUUAGAA
rnacentral:tRNA from 1 species